rnacentral:lncRNA from 10 species
AAUCUGCCACCGCUGCCACCGAGCCGAGGGGCGCCAGCAAGGCAUCCCCUGGGUCAAGGGGCCUCCCGUGGGCUUUCCAAACAGCCUGUGCUCAUUUCCGCGGGAGCCCUCGGGGCGCUGUGCUGUGGCUGCAUUGUCACUGUUUGUUUAUUUCUACAUCUGCUCUGUUAGAAGAUAGGCUCGCUUAGGACAGAGCCUUCUAAUCCACCCCCUGAUGAAUUCGGGCCCUCGCCUUUGGCACAAUGCCUGGCGUCAUCACAACGCGGGUGAUCAGUAAACGGCAGCGAAGGAAGCGGGGUCAGGACUGGAGAGGAGAGGGGGAGGAAGACAGACGACCGGAGAGGAACAAAAAUGGAAGGCAGUGUUUCAAGAACCCAGCUCCAUUCAUCCUAUGAUGCCACCAUCCUCAGCAUUUGACUUCCAUGGCUCCUAUGAUGUCUCGCUAUGUUGCCCAGGCUGGGCUUGAACUCCGGGACUCAAGGGAUCCUCCCACCUCAGCCUCUUGAGUAGC